rnacentral:rRNA from 1 species
GACGAACGCUGGCGGUGUGCUUAACACAUGCAAGUCGAACGGAAAGGCCCUGCUUUUGUGGGGUGCUCGAGUGGCGAACGGGUGAGUAACACGUGAGUAACCUGCCCUUGACUUUGGGAUAACUUCAGGAAACUGGGGCUAAUACCUGAUAGGAGCUCCUGCUGCAUGGUGGGGGUUGGAAAGUUUCGGCGGUUGGGGAUGGACUCGCGGCUUAUCAGCUUGUUGGUGGGGUAGUGGCUUACCAAGGCUUUGACGGGUAGCCGGCCUGAGAGGGUGACCGGCCACAUUGGGACUGAGAUACGGCCCAGACUCCUACGGGAGGCAGCAGUGGGGAAUAUUGCACAAUGGGCGGAAGCCUGAUGCAGCAACGCCGCGUGCGGGAUGACGGCCUUCGGGUUGUAAACCGCUUUCGCCUGUGACGAAGCGUGAGUGACGGUAAUGGGUAAAGAAGCACCGGCUAACUACGUG